rnacentral:rRNA from 1 species
UACGGAGGGGGCUAGCGUUGCUCGGAAUUACUGGGCGUAAAGCGCGCGUAGGCGGCUUUGUAAGUUAGAGGUGAAAGCCCGGAGCUCAACUCCGGAAUUGCCUUUGAGACUGCAUCGCUAGAAUUGUGGAGAGGUGAGUGGAAUUCCGAGUGUAGAGGUGAAAUUCGUAGAUAUUCGGAAGAACACCAGUGGCGAAGGCGACUUACUGGACAGAUACUGACGCUGAGGUGCGAAAGCGUGGGGAGCAAACAGG